AUUGAACGCUAGCGGGAUGCCUUACACAUGCAAGUCGAACGGAGUGGCGAACGGGUGAGUAAUGUAUCGGAACGUGCCCAGUAGCGGGGGAUAACUACGCGAAAGCGUAGCUAAUACCGCAUACUAUUGGAGCGGCCGAUAUCGGAUUAGCUAGUUGGUGGGGUAACGGAGCACCAAGGCGACGAUCCGUAGCUGGUUUGAGAGGACGACCAGCCACACUGGCACUUAGAACCGGCCCCGCCUCCUACGGUCGGCAGCAGUGGGGAAUUUUGGACAAUGGGGGAAACCCUUCUCCAGCCAUCCCGCGUUUGCCAUGAAGGCCUUCGGGUUGUAAAGCACUUUUGGCAGGAAAGCGGUACCUGCAGAAUAAGCACCGGCUAACUACGUGCCAGCAGCCGCGGUAAUUC
rnacentral:rRNA from 1 species